rnacentral:rRNA from 1 species
GUGGGGAAUUUUGGACAAUGGGCGCAAGCCUGAUCCAGCAAUGCCGCGUGCAGGAAGAAGGCCUUCGGGUUGUAAACUGCUUUUGUACGGAACGAAACGGUCCUGGUUAAUACCUGGGGCUAAUGACGGUACCGUAAGAAUAAGCACCGGCUAACUACGUGCCAGCAGCCGCGGUAAUACGUAGGGUGCGAGCGUUAAUCGGAAUUACUGGGCGUAAAGCGUGCGCAGGCGGUGCUGUAAGACAGGCGUGAAAUCCCCGGGCUCAACCUGGGAAUUGCGCUUGUGACUGCAGUGCUGGAGUACGGCAGAGGGGGAUGGAAUUCCGCGUGUAGCAGUGAAAUGCGUAGAUAUGCGGAGGAACACCGAUGGCGAAGGCAGUCCCCUGGGCCUGUACUGACGCUCAUGCACGAAAGUGUGGGGAGCAAACAGGAUUAGAAACCCGUGUAGUCC